CCUACGGGAGGCAGCAGUGAGGAAUAUUGGUCAAUGGGCUUACGCCUGAACCAGCCAAGUCGCGUGAGGGAAGACUGCCCUAUGGGUUGUAAACCUCUUUUGUCAGGGAGCAACGCCGGCUACGUGUAGCCGGACUGAGAGUACCUGAAGAAAAAGCAUCGGCUAACUCCGUGCCCGCAGCCGCGGUAAUACGGGGGAUGCGAGCGUUAUCCGGAUUUAUGGGGUUAACAGGGUGCGAGGGCGGAAUGCCAAGUCAGCGUGAAAACCGCGGGGCUAAACCGCGAACCGCCGUUGAAACUGGCGAUCUGGAGUGGGCGAGAGGAAAGUGGAAUUCGAGGUGUAGGAGUGAAAUGCGUAGAUAUCUCGCAGAACAUCAGUGGCGAAGGCGACAAACCGGCGCACAACUGACGCUGAGGAGCGAAAGCGUGGGUAGCGAACAGGAUUAGAUACCCGAGUAGUC
rnacentral:rRNA from 1 species